rnacentral:lncRNA from 1 species
CAUGAAGGAAUUUGAUCUUUUCUCCAAGAACAACUUUCAACAUCCCACAGGACAGAGUGUUUUCUUGGAACACAGUUUGGCAAACCCUGGUUCAGAGGAGCUGUGGUUUUCUUUGUGCCCUAGAAGAUCAGUUCAUUUACCUCAGUGUCUGCUCUUACAUCACAAAGUUUUACUUCUCUGGUACCAUCCUGGGUCUACCCAUUUCUCUCCUUUUCCCAACUGUGACCUAAUUAACCCAAAUUCCACCACUCAUUCAUUCAUUCUCUUUCCCUCUCUCUCUCUCCUCCUCCCCUUUCUCCUCCCUGCUAACUGGUCUCCACAUUUUCCCUCUUGAUCUAACUAUAAUCCUUUUUCACAAGGCCACCAGGGGUUUUUAGGAAGUUAGAUCAGGUCCAUGAUGGCUUAAGAUGCUACAGUAAAGUCCCACUGCACUUGCAAUUAAAUAAAUCCAAAGGCCUUCUAAUGACCCACCAGGCCCCAUACAAAUCUGGAUCCAUCCUACUGACCCUUUCACGCCAUUUGCACCCUCUCUCCCUAUCUUGCAACCACAAUGCCUUGGCAUCUACUGUUUCCUCUGUCUGGCACACACCGCCCUUAGAUGAUCACAUCACGUAUCCCCUUGCAUGUCUCAGCUCAAGUACUAUGUCCUUAGGGAGGCUGCCCCUGACCUCUCUGACUGGAGUGUCCCCACAUUCCUUAGUCACUCAUUCACACGUUCUCAUCUUUGUGGCCCAUAUAUGUUGACUAACUAAUUGCCUACCUCCUCUUUUAAGGAAUGAAAAUCCCUUAAGAGCAUGGUUCUAGUGGACCUGUUCAAAGCUGUAUCCCAAAAUUGAUCACAGUGUUGGGCACAAAUCAGGCACUCGAGAAAUAAUUUUUGCAUGAAUGAAUGAAUGAUCUAGGCACCAAAGAAUGUUUCUUCAAUAGACAGUGAGUGCCUUGAAAACAGAAGCUAAGUUUUAUACUCUUCCAAGUCACAACAGUGUGAUUUCAAACCUUUCGGAGACUAUUUUCUCUUCUGUAAAAUGGAGAUAACAGUAGGCACCUCACAGAUGAAGAUGAAAUGGAAACUUUAAUAUGUUUCUAGCAAAAGUACUUGGCAAAUAUAGACCAUAGAUGAUGAUAUCAUUUCCAUGUCAUUGUACAUGGAAUCCACUUCCUAGUGCAAAGCCCAACACAGAGUAGACUUGCAACAGUUGUUGUCUGAAUGAACACAUGAAUAGAGUUAUUUUUUCUAAAAAUUCCCCAACCACUCAGAUAUAUGAAGCACCAUGCACAUAUUCCCAAGGUCGGCUAUGAUCCUGCGUAGUGUGAUCUCAAUCUGAUGCCCUAAACAGAGAAGGGGAGUUUCUGAAAGGCUGUGGGAUACUCUUGAUUGAAGUGCUUAAAAACAGGGAGAGGCCAUUGCUCUGAGACACAGUCCCACCUGCAGGAGGAGGGAUGGAGAAAAUGUACAAGAAAUGGACAGAUAUGAAAUUACAGUAUUAUAGAUGAAUGCCAUAGGAGAUAUCCUCCUGGUACAGAGGGAAAGUGACCGAAACAGGUAUAGGAAGUCAGAAAAUGCUUCGUGGAAGAAGUGGUGCCCAGAGGAAGAGUGAAGAAUGAAUGAGGAGAACUCAGCAAGGAGAAAAGGGGGUGGGUAGGAUUCUGGCCAAAAAGGACUCAGGACUCAGCUGUUGAUUGGUUGGAAGGGACACGGGCCACAUUAGCAAGGAUGCAAAGGAUUCUGGUUUGGGCAAUCCUGUGGCUCCUGGUACCCAGGGGAAUGACAUGCCCUCCAAACUCCUCCAUGUGCCCGGCUAGGCUGUGACCCGCAUCCAAACUAUAUAAUUUGCCUUUUGCAAACAUCCAAUAAUUAGAAGUCCCAGCUUUUCCUCUGCAUCAUCCACUCUGCCAUCGUAAAGUGUCUGCUGUCAAAGGCUGAGGCACGAACCGCAAAAACUUCCAUCUAAUGAGAGUGUAUGAAUGUGGGUAUGUGUUUGUGUACUGCAGUCCCUAGGUGGUUCUUAUAAACGAAGAGCUCACUUCAAUGACCCUACCGUGAUAAUUAAUACACUCCCUAAGCAGACUAUGCUGCCAAAGGAAAGAUAAGCUGCUCUCAAAUAAGGGCAGAAAUGAUACCAAGAAAUUUGAACAGACCUUGGAAAGUAUAGAAGAUCCUUGAAGCACAGGGAGCAUCUGCAGAUAAGAAGGUUGUUCUAAGUUGGAAUUUUCGCUUACUGCUUUUGAGUUGACAAAGCACUAUUAUAAUUGUGAUUUUACUGAAUCUCCCAUAUAUUAUGACUGUUGAAAAUGACAAUAUUUUAAGAAUGCUGGAAGGUUCCCCCGCGCCCCCCCCCC